GGGAGGCAGCAGUGAGGAAUAUUGGACAAUGGGCGCAAGCCUGAUCCAGCCAUGCCGCGUGUAGGAAGACGGCCCUAUGGGUUGUAAACUACUUUUAUACGGGAAGAAACCUAUCCUCGUGAGGGUAGCUGACGGUACCGUAAGAAUAAGCACCGGCUAACUCCGUGCCAGCAGCCGCGGUAAU
rnacentral:rRNA from 1 species